rnacentral:rRNA from 2 species
GUUGUAUGGUUAAGUGACUAAGCGUACACGGUGGAUGCCUAGGCAGUCAGAGGCGAUGAAGGACGUACUAACUUGCGAUAAGCGCAGAUAAGGCAGUAAGAGCCGUUUGAGUCUGCGAUUUCCGAAUGGGGAAACCCAACUGCAUAAGCAGUUACUGUUAACUGAAUACAUAGGUUAACAGAGCAAACCGGGGGAACUGAAACAUCUAAGUACCCCGAGGAGAAGAAAUCAACCGAGAUUCCGGUAGUAGCGGCGAGCGAACCUGGAUUAGCCCUUAAGCACUCGUUGAAGUAGGUGAACAAGCUGGAAAGCUUGGCGAUACAGGGUGAUAGCCCCGUAACCGACGCUUCAUCGAGCGUGAAAUCGAGUAGGGCGGGACACGUGAUAUCCUGUCUGAAUAUGGGGGGACCAUCCUCCAAGGCUAAAUACUCCUGACUGACCGAUAGUGAACCAGUACCGUGAGGGAAAGGCGAAAAGAACCCCUGUGAGGGGAGUGAAAUAGAACCUGAAACCGUGUACGUACAAGCAGUAGGAGCACCUUCGUGGUGUGACUGCGUACCUUUUGUAUAAUGGGUCAGCGACUUAUAUUCAGUGGCAAGGUUAACCGUAUAGGGGAGCCGUAGCGAAAGCGAGUCUUAACUGGGCGUUCAGUCUCUGGAUAUAGACCCGAAACCGGGUGAUCUAGCCAUGGGCAGGUUGAAGGUUGAGUAACAUCAACUGGAGGACCGAACCGACUAAUGUUGAAAAAUUAGCGGAUGACUUGUGGCUAGGGGUGAAAGGCCAAUCAAACUCGGAGAUAGCUGGUUCUCCCCGAAAGCUAUUUAGGUAGCGCCUCGGACGAAUACUACUGGGGGUAGAGCACUGUUAAGGCUAGGGGGUCAUCCCGACUUACCAACCCUUUGCAAACUCCGAAUACCAGUAAGUACUAUCCGGGAGACACACGGCGGGUGCUAACGUCCGUCGUGGAGAGGGAAACAACCCAGACCGCCAGCUAAGGUCCCAAAGUAUUGCUAAGUGGGAAACGAUGUGGGAAGGCUCAGACAGCUAGGAUGUUGGCUUAGAAGCAGCCAUCAUUUAAAGAAAGCGUAAUAGCUCACUAGUCGAGUCGGCCUGCGCGGAAGAUGUAACGGGGCUAAGCAAUACACCGAAGCUGCGGCAAUGCCUUUUAGGUAUUGGGUAGGGGAGCGUUCUGUAAGCCGUUGAAGGUGGUCUGUAAGGGCUGCUGGAGGUAUCAGAAGUGCGAAUGCUGACAUGAGUAACGACAAAGGGGGUGAAAAACCUCCUCGCCGGAAGACCAAGGGUUCCUGUCCAACGUUAAUCGGGGCAGGGUGAGUCGACCCCUAAGGUGAGGCCGAAAGGCGUAAUCGAUGGGAAACGGGUUAAUAUUCCCGUACUUCUGACUAUUGCGAUGGGGGGACGGAGAAGGCUAGGUGGGCCAGGCGACGGUUGUCCUGGUUCAAGUGCGUAGGCUU